UAUCCAGGACCCUCUGUAGUGCCCAUCUCCCUUCAGGCAUAUCAACACUCCCUCCCAACUUGGUGUCAUCUGCAAACCUUCUGACAGUGCACUCACUUCCCUCAUCAAGAUCGUUAAUAAAGAUGUUGAAUAGGAGUGGCCCCAGUACUGAGCCCUGGGGGACACUGCUCAUGACCAGUCACCAACUGCAUUUAACUCCACUGACCACAACAAUUUGGGCCUGGCCAACUUCAGUUCUAGCUGGGCUUUGGCUUCAUUACGUACCUGUAAUCAUCAUAAGUAGCUUGCCCACUCUUCCAGAGACCAUAAGCUUUCCUUUUGCUCUUGAGUUCCAGCCAAAGGUCUCUGUUCAGCCAGUCCAGCCUCCUUGCCUGUUGGCUCGUCUUCCAUGACUCGGGGAUGGUCAGCUCUUGCACCUUUAAAAUUACUUUAUUAAAGUAUUCCCAGCCUUCCUGGGCUCCCACGCUCUCCAAAACUAACUCCAAAGGGACUCUCUCAACCAUGGUCCUAAAGAGGUUAAAGUCUGCCCUCCAGAAGUCCAAGGUGGCAGUUCUGCUGACUCCCCACCGUGGUUCAACAAGGAUCAAGAAAUCUAGCAUCUCAUGAUCACUAUGCCCCAGAUGGCCUCCAACCUUUACGUCCCCCAGGAGACCUUCUCUGUUAACAAACAGCAGGUCCAGGAUUUUGCUUCCCCUUGUUGGCUCCUUCACCAGCUGUGUCAGGAAGUCAUCUCCCACACACUCUAGGAACCUCUGAGACUGUUCUCUAUCUGCUGUAUUAUAAAUCCCACAGAUGUCUGGGAAGUUGAAGUCCCCCACAAGAACAAGGGGGAGAGACCUUGAGACCUCACCCAACUGUCUAUGAAGUGUCUUGUCUCUUUAUCCUGGUUGAGUGGCCUGUAGUAGACUCCCAUGAUAAUAUCAGUCUUAUUGGCCUUCACUUUUAUUUUGACCCAUAAGCUCUCAACCCAUGCAGCACCCUCUUCAUUGGCAUGGGGUAUGGCUGCCCCAGAGUGUACCUGCUGUGGUGUCUUCUCUGUGUCCAGCGUGCUUAGCUGUGGGACAAGUGGGCGUUUCUCAUUUCCCAUAGAUCAGCAUGCUUGUGAGCCGAUCUUCCAGCCUCUCCAACUCCUGCAGUGCCUGCUCAUGUUUGUCCGGAUCCUGCGCCAGGUGCUGAAAGAGGUUGAGCGGUUCGGACUCUCGGAAAUCUUGUGGCAAGAUAAUCUCUGCUGGCACAUCCUCAUUUCCAAUGAGGAAGUGGUUCAGACGUUUCUCCUCCACACAGCAGCGCAGGUAGCGAAAGAUGUCAUCCAUCUGCAGCAGAAAAUACCUCUCAUGCCAGUUUUCCAAAGGGAUGGCAUUCAGGAGGUGCAUGAACACGGUCUUUAGUUCAUAGGUAGAAAAGUUGUGGCCCGACAGGAUAUAGGCACACACUUGCAUACAUCUGAAGUGGAAAUGGUCAUCCUCGGCAUGGCUGGCUACAUGCUGGAAGAACUUUGCCUCUGCCACAGCACAGCUCUGUGGCCAGAUCGUGCUGGGAGUACCACCAGGCUCCUGGUAGUCAGUCUCCUGGCUGCUCAGAAAGAUGUCUGUAUUGUCUUGCUGUACACCAAACACUAGCUUAAUGGAGGUGCUUCUGAAGAUAUUUCUCACACGAAGCCUGCAGGAGCGCCUGGACAGCACCACAUUCAUGCUGCAUGUUGCAGACGCAGGGAUGCAUUUCCAGGCAUUUCUGAUCAGCACCAGGAACCAGCGGGCAGUCUUCUCCACAUCUAGGCAGGAGUCAGUGCAGAGGUUGUGUAGGAGGCUGGGCUGCUGAUUUCUCAGCUCUUCUGCGGAGGCGUGGAGGAAGCACUGCAUGCCCAUCUCCUGCUCCCUCCCGCACGUGCAUUCCAGCGCUACAUGGAUACGGGAGUUCUUCGCUGGUAGCUCCCCUAUGGUGCUCAGAUCCGGGUGGAAAACAUGCCCACGGGGGGCCAACAGGGGCACAAGCACGCAAAGGACAGGUUCAUGCUCAACGGGAUACCAGCCUUCGUAGGCACCACCCACCCCAAUGGGGUGCUGUGGCACUGGAUAGAAAGUAUCUGAUACGAGAUACUGGGAAAUAGCAAUGAGUUCACUCAACAGCAACAGCGUAUGUUCAGUGUUGACUUGAGGGCUUUGGAUUGACCAGAGAGCACCAGGAAGGAAAAAUGGUUGCUCCUCUUCUACCCCCUCCUCCUGCUGCUGCUGCUCCUCCUGCUGCUCCUGCUGCUCCUCCUGCUGCUCCUGUUGCUGCUCCUCCUCACUGCUGGAGCUCUCCUCAUCACUGCUGUCUUCAACCCUCUGAAACUCUCUAUGGAUCUUCCACAUGAACCAAAACAGAAGGAUGAAAAGACAAAGAAAAUUAAAAAUCUUCCAGUAUGGCAACAAAGCAAAGAGCAGGGCUUGCAUGCCCAUCCUGCUCCGUGCCACUUCCAUCUCUUCUAUCUCCAGCAGCAGCUUUGUCAUCUGCUCUUGCAGAUACACCUCACGCUGCCGCAUGCGGUUGAGGGUUUCCUCAUCCAAAUAAUCACCAACACAUGGCACUCUCUGCGCCAACAACGAGAAGACAAACGCCAAAGCCAUGAUCUGGAAGAAGUGAGAGAGGGGAGGUCAGUGGGGCUGGGUGGGAGCUCGCGCACGGCUGGGGGAGUUGGGCCAGGAGCCACAGCCCCUGGGGUCAGGUAGGAGUGGGGGCGAGGGAGCUGGGAGGCAGCAGGAGCUGAGGCCAGCACUGGUGGCGACUGCCCAGAGAGCCGCUCGCAGGCUCCCCUGAGCACUCACUGCCAUCACUGCAGGCUCCCAAACCCCUCGCGGGCCGGUGUUUGCGCCCGGCCCAGCACAGCCCUCCCCCUUGCUGCUGCACUCACCGCUGGCCCAGGCCAAAGUGGAGCAGCCGCUGCCUGCUGAUGGCCUCAAUACCAGCCCCGCAUUGUGAUGUCACAGACGCCCCAGCCCCACCCCGCGCAGUCCCUCUCAGCUGCCCUGGGCUGCCAUGGCCAUGGCAUCACCUCUGUUCUGAGGCAUGUGGCUGGACUGAACUCAAAGGGUCUCCCUUUACAAGGCAGGCAGGGCCUUCCCUGAAGAAUUCUCAAAAAGAAUAUCAGGUGACAUGGCCUGUGGAUGUGAUGCUCCUUCUGUGCCACCCUGUGAGACAAGUCAGCUCCGUUGGUUCUGACCUCUGUCCCUGUGGUCAUGCAUGCGCUCUUGGUGACUUUGUGGCACUGAUGGGCAGAUCAACGUUUUCAUGCUUAUAGACCUGGAAGUGGAAGAACUACGGCAAAGCCAGUCGUCAACAUGUGUUAGAAUCAUAGAAUAGCUUGGGCUGGGAGAGCCCUUAGAGAUCAUCUAACUCCAGCCCUGUGCCAUUAGCAGGAACACCUUCCACUGUAUUCAUAGCAUACAGUAUACUAUAAUAGGUUUAAAACCACUUUCUCCGUUAAGUCUGCAAGAACAAGUUUCCAGCAGUUCUGACUACCCAACACUGCCAGGAGAACUUCAGUAUAAAAUGAGUAAACUUUUCACAGACUUGUGGGUGAAGUGCUUACUCUUCGAUUGUUCAUAAGGGGGACUCAGAAGACCUGUUGCCAGCCCUGGUAAUAAUACCAUGAGCAGGGCUGCGAAUAUUUUCCGCAGUACUGUGAUGCAAUUUCUUUGAUCCACUUUACAGCAAAUAAAGCUCCAGUGCAAUUAGCUG
rnacentral:lncRNA from 1 species